rnacentral:rRNA from 1 species
UACAGAGGGGGCAAGCGUUGUUCGGAAUUACUGGGCGUAAAGGGCGCGUAGGCGGCCUGCUAAGUCGAACGUGAAAUCCCUGGGCUCAACCCAGGAACUGCGUCCGAUACUGGUUGGCUUGAAUCCGGGAGAGGGAUGUGGAAUUCCAGGUGUAGCGGUGAAAUGCGUAGAUAUCGGGAGGAACACCAGUGGCGAAGGCGACUACCUGGCCUGUUUCUUGACGCUGAGGCGCGAAAGCUAGGGGAGCAAACGGG